GGAUGUGAGGGCGAUCUGGCUGCAACACUGUCACCCCAUUGAUCACCAGGGUUGAUUCUGCUCGGCUGAUCCGGCUGGCUUGGCGGGCAUCCCCCUCCUCCCUUACCAUUCCAUGUAUGCCCCUCCUGAAGCUGCGCGCUCGGUGGAAGAGGACGACCAUCCUUGAUAGAUGAGGACCAGUCUUCGGUCAAGGGUAUACAAAUAGCUGUGGUCCCCCGAUGGAACCUCCAAACAAGCUCUCAAGAGUAAAGAAAAAUUAUAUAGUUUAGAAUUCACAUCUACAUAAAGAAUAGUGUUAGAGAAGGAAUAAAGGCAAAAUAUAAUUCUUUUAUUU
rnacentral:snRNA from 1 species